rnacentral:rRNA from 1 species
GUGCCAGCCGCCGCGGUAAUACCGGCAGCCCAAGUGAUGGCCGAUAUUAUUGGGCCUAAAGCGUCCGUAGCUGGCCGCGCAAGUUCGUCGGGAAAUCCACUCGCUUAACGAGUGGGCGUCCGGCGAAAACUGUGCGGCUUGGGACCGGAAGAUCCAAGGGGUACGUCCGGGGUAGGAGUGAAAUCCCAUAAUCCCGCACGGACCACCGAUGGCGAAAGCACUUCGAGAAAACGGAUCCGACAGUGAGGGACGAAAGCCAGGGUCUCCAACCGGAUUAGAUACCCGAGUAGUCC